rnacentral:rRNA from 1 species
UACGUAGGGUGCGAGCGUUGUCCGGAAUUAUUGGGCGUAAAGAGCUCGUAGGCGGUGUGUCACGUCGUUCGUGAAAACCUGCAGCUACAACUGGCGGCUGCGGUCGAUACGGGCAGCUAGAGUUCGGUGGAGGGAGACUGGAAUUCCUGGAUGUAGCGGUGAAAUGCGCAGAUAUCAGGAGGAACACCGGUGGCGAAGGCGGGUCACUGGGUCCGGUACUG